rnacentral:tRNA from 1 species
ACCUGGCUGGCUCAGUCAGUAGAGCAUGUGACUCUUGAUCUCAAGGUUGUAAGUUCGAGCCCCACGUUGGGUG